CCUACGGGUGGCGGCAGGGAGGAAUAUUGGUCAAUGGGCGCGAGCCGGAACCAGCCAAGUAGCGUGAAGGAUGACUGCCCUACGGGUUGUAAACUUCUUUUAUAAAGGAAUAAAGUGAGGCACGUGUGCCUUUUUGUAUGUACUUUAUGAAUAAGGAUCGGCUAACUCCGUGCCAGCAGCCGCGGUAAUACGGAGGAUCCGAGCGUUAUCCGGAUUUAUUGGGUUUAAAGGGAGCGUAGAUGGGUUGUUAAGUCAGUUGUGAAAGUUUGCGGCUCAACCGUAAAAUUGCAAUUGAUACUGGCAGCCUUGAGUGCAGUUGAGGUAGGCGGAAUUCGUGGUGUAGCGGUGAAAUGCUUAGAUAUCACGAAGAACUCCGAUUGCGAAGGCAGCUUACUAGACUGCAACUGACAUUGAUGCUCGAAAGUGUGGGUAUCAAACAGGAUUAGAUACCCGAGUAGUC
rnacentral:rRNA from 1 species